GAGUUUGAUCCUGCGUCAGGAUGAAUGCUAGCGGCAGGCUAAUACAUGCAAGGCGAGGGGGCAGCAAUGUCACCGUCGUACGGGUGCGUAACGCGUAUGCAACCUACCUUCAACUGGGGGAUAGCCCGGGAAACCCGGAUUAAUACCGCAUAAUACAAUUGGGCCACCUGGUUUGAUUUGUUAAAGAUUUAUUGGUUGAAGAUGGGCAUGCGUUCGAUUAGCUAGUUGGUGCGGGUAACGGCCCACCAAGGCAACGAUCGAUAGGGGAGCUGAGAGGUUGAUCCCCCACACGGGCACUGAGAUACGGGCCCGACUCCUACGGGAGGCAGCAGUAGGGAAUAUUGGGCAAUGGAUGAGAGUCUGACCCAGCCAUGCCGCGUGCCGGAUGAAGGCCCUCAGGGUUGUAAACGGCUUUUAUCCGGGAAGAAGAGCAGGGAUGCGUCCCUGUGUGACGGUACCGGAUGAAUAAGCACCGGCUAACUCCGUG
rnacentral:rRNA from 1 species